UGUAAUGUUAAAAAUGUGUAAAAUUUCUCUGCGAAUCGUUACAGGAACAGUAUAAGUUCAUAUUCAAAGCGUUGGUUUACGCUCUUUGUCUCAACUGUAAGCCGAUACCGAUAGAAAACCUUGAAGAACACGUUAACGAUACUGACGAAAAUUCGUUAAACAGACAGUAUAAGGAACUUGAAUUGUCCCUCGAAAGAAUCGACAUGGAUGACAUGAAUUCUGAGUCAGAAUAUGAAAACUUGACGGGCAAAGCUAGACCUGGAGCAGAUAUAUUAGACAACCCAAAUCGAGUGCGUCUGUAUCUCAACAGAGAGUACAAAGACACGGAUUUUAUCAAUGCUGUCUAUGUAAAUGUAAUGCUCUAUAGUAUUUGCUUACAAUAAUAUGCAUGUCCCUGUUUGUAAAUCAAGAC